rnacentral:lncRNA from 1 species
CAGAGUCGACACGUAGAAGAAAGUAGCUGCAAAACGCAGAGUCGAGCCACACAUGUUGAUCUGAAAUGUUGAAGGAAGUAGACAUGGGAGCAUUUGAUUACGACACAUAAUGAAAGAAUUAUGUGUCGUGUUGUUUUUAUCAAAGUACGAAGCAGCCUUUUUCCAGGGAGGGAAAGAGAGACCUUCGACAACUGAUUCAGCUGUAGCCUCACCUGCGUGGUUCUUGUACUUGCCUUCUUUUUCAUUAAAAAACAACUUUGGCCCAUGAUGAACAGUGUUGUACUGUUCCAUUAGUGUCCUUUUAUCGCCUAGAUUGACUGAGGUGCCCCGCCCCCUCGAGAAACUUGGCUGGCAAUGAAGGCUGCAGGUUUUCCAGGCUUCAGUCACACAGCGAGGCCUUUUCAGAGGCUACGCUUAGCCUGAA